rnacentral:rRNA from 1 species
UACGUAGGGUGCGAGCGUUAAUCGGAAUUACUGGGCGUAAAGUGUGCGCAGGCGGCGUCGCAAGUCGAGUGUGAAAUCCCCGAACUUAACUUGGGAAUGGCGCUUGAAACUACGGUGCUGGAGUGUGGCAGAGGGAGGUGGAAUUCCACGUGUAGCGGUGAAAUGCGUAGAGAUGUGGAGGAACACCGAUGGCGAAGGCAGCCUCCUGGGCCAACACUGACGCUCAUGCACGAAAGCGUGGGGAGCAAACAGG